UACGAAGGGUGCUAGCGUUGCUCGGAAUUACUGGGCGUAAAGGGUGCGUAGGCGGUUUUUUGAGUCAGGGGUGAAAUCCUGGAGCUCAACUCCAGAACUGCCUUUGAUACUGAAGAUCUUGAGUUCGGGAGAGGUGAGUGGAACUGCGAGUGUAGAGGUGAAAUUCGUAGAUAUUCGCAAGAACACCAGUGGCGAAGGCGGCUCACUGGCCCGAUACUGACGCUGAGGCACGAAAGCGUGGGGAGCAAACAGG
rnacentral:rRNA from 1 species